rnacentral:rRNA from 1 species
AUUGAACGCUGGCGGCAGGCCUAACACAUGCAAGUCGAGCGGAUGAAGGGAGCUUGCUCCUGGAUUCAGCGGCGGACGGGUGAGUAAUGCCUAGGAAUCUGCCUGGUAGUGGGGGAUAACGUCCGGAAACGGGCGCUAAUACCGCAUACGUCCUGAGGGAGAAAGUGGGGGAUCUUCGGACCUCACGCUAUCAGAUGAGCCUAGGUCGGAUUAGCUAGUUGGUGGGGUAAAGGCCUACCAAGGCGACGAUCCGUAACUGGUCUGAGAGGAUGAUCAGUCACACUGGAACUGAGACACGGUCCAGACUCCUACGGGAGGCAGCAGUGGGGAAUAUUGGACAAAGGGCGAAAACCUGAUCCAGCCAUGCCGCGUGUGUGAAGAAGGUCUUCGGAUUGUAAAGCACUUUAAGUUGGGAGGAAGGGCAGUAAGUUAAUACCUUGCUGUUUUGACGUUACCAACAGAAUAAGCACCGGCUAACUUCGUG